AUGAGGCAUCCAUAUGGUUCUCUUUUUAACAUUUUUACGCUUCUUUGGUGUCUCUGGAAAGCAAGGAAUGAUUUUCUAUUUCAUAGGGUGAAAUCUCUUCCUCAUCAAGUUCACAUUGCUGCUCUUGCAUUAACCUCUAAUGUGUAUGACAAUGCCCUUCUCUUGAAUCAGACUCCAACUCCAACUCAGUUGUCUUCUAAUCAAAUUCCUUUGCCUGGCAGAACCCUUAGGUCUGAUUUGUUGGUUGAUGGGGCUAAAAUCUAUUCGGAUGCAGCUUUUAGGACUAAGAAAAUUCCAGGUAUGUUGCAAGGACAGGUUGGCACAGGUGUGGGAAUCUUUAUUUCCUUACCCUCUAACGGAGGAGAGAUCAAUGUGCAAGUGCAAGCUUCAGCUCCUCCAACUUCUACUCCUCUGCAAGCGGAGGCUCUUGCACUAAAUUUUGCUGCUUAUCUUGCAUCUCAACUCAACAUUGCUCAGCCUACUUUUCUGUCGGACCGCUUGGUUUUAGGAGGGGCUGCUGCUCUAGGUAAUGUCUCCACUUCUGAAACUCCAUGGAGUAUCAGGAAAUCUUUGACUAGAUUUUUUAAGACUACUUAUCAGCUUCAGCCAAAGGUGUUUCACAUUUCUAGGGAGAUCAAUGGUAUUGCUCAUAAUCUUGCUCAACAAGUUUUCCGUACUAUUGGCGACACUCGACUUUCUUGUUUUGCUGCAAGACACAAUUAUGGUCUUUGCCCAAUACUGCCUAUUCUUGAAAAAAUUUAG
rnacentral:rRNA from 1 species